UCUUUUUUAUUUGCUUUGCUUCCUGUUUUAUUGAGAAUUCGUGAAUAAAAAAUAUAGUUCUGUUGGUUUUCAAAUAAAGUACUGAUUAAAAAUAUGCGAAUAAAAAAUUAUUGUUCUGUUGGUUCUGGAAUAAAGCACUGAAAGCUCUUUCUUUGGGUUCGUUGAUGUAUUAUGGUUAAAAUUUUAAUUACAUCUUCUACAGAUUGAGCUGCCACACUUCUAACAAAAUUCGUAUGAUCGCUAAAAUUGCAAAAGUGCAUGGGAUAGAUUUCCAAUGAAAAUCUUUAUUUUGUUUUCCUAACUUUGGGUAUCGAGGCAUUGAAAGGUAAAACUUUGGGUAUCGAGGCAACGGAAGGCAAGCACCGCAAUAGGAUACGAUUCUUCUCAAACGGCUAUGGGUGUCUUUGUUUGUGCCUGAGAUAGCGAAAUGUAUCGUGGAAAGCAAUUGUAUCAAAAUGAGGAACGCUAUGCUGCCUUAACUCAUAUGGUGGCUUCUCAUGGACUGGAUCGUAGUUCAAAGGUGCUUCGUCAGCCGAAUAUUGGCACUUUUUUCAUGCUUUAGUUUGACUGUUUCGUAAGGUCUGGUUAACUAGGUCCCAGGAAUUAGUCAAAGAUGGUAAAAAGUUAUCAGCUGUCUGGUUCUGAGUUUUGACUCAGACACAACAUGUCCAAUGUUCUGCGGUCUGCUACUGUCUAAUAUACAGAUUAUCGAGACUAAGGAGUCGUGAAAAUUGCAUAGCUUGAGAUUGGGG